UGUAGCUACCAGCUACCACGUAGCUAGCUAGCUAAGUUAGCAUGGUUUAAUACUCCUACGUGCUAACCAUGGCUAAUUUAGUUGGAUGCUGGCUAGGUAGACAAAAGCCUCAAGCCUUUUUAUCCAGGAUUCUAACAAAUAUAUCUCCAAAGAUCGCCCAGUAAUCUCCCGGUGAUGACCGGACGAACGGUCGGUGCCCUAGAUGCCGGAUCAAUCAAGAUAUGCGCUUUCACAUCACAUCGCAUCUGAGCUAGGGCUAAACUAAGUUGUCUUGCCUACAAUGAUUUGCUGCUCGCCGUGCAGCCG
rnacentral:lncRNA from 1 species